rnacentral:lncRNA from 1 species
CUGGCGGAAGUAGCUGUUCGCAACGAGUCAACUCAGGGCGGAAGCAGCCGCCCUGAAAACUCGGAAGACUGAGAGGUCAGGACCGGAAGUUGGUCCUCGCUGAGGUCCGCUGCAAAUGCUCCGGAAAUACAACCGGAACGGGAAAUUCUGUUCCAACGGGGAAAAAAACUUCUUUGCUUUCACGCCCUCCCGCUGCAGUCCUUAUCAGACAACGCCGGGAAGAGUGCUGGGAAUCAGACCCCAGGCCUUGUGAAUGCCAAGUGAGUGCUCUACCACAGCCCCAGCUUGGCCAGAUCCUAAACCCUCCCAGCCAUCUGUGUACUUCCAUGUAAAGUCCAGUUUCAGGAAAGAAUUCCCCACCCACCCUCUGUGUCCGAUU